rnacentral:rRNA from 1 species
GUGAGGAAUUUUCCGCAAUGGGCGAAAGCCUGACGGAGCAAUGCCGCGUGAAGGAUGAAGGCCUAUGGGUUGUAAACUUCUUUUCUCAGAAAAGAAUUAUGACGGUAUCUGAGGAAUAAGCAUCGGCUAACUCUGUGCCAGCAGCCGCGGUAAGACAGAGGAUGCAAGCGUUAUCCGGAAUGAUUGGGCGUAAAGCGUCUGUAGGUUGUUUAAAAAGUAUUCUGUCAAAGAUUAGGGCUUAACCCUAGAUAGGCAGAAUAAACUUUUAAGCUAGAGUUUGGUAGAGGCAGAGGGAACUCCCGGUGGAGCGGUGAAAUGCGUGGAUAUCGGGAGGACAACCAAAGGCGAAGGCACUCUGCUGGGCCAAUACUAACACUGAGAGACGAAAGCGAGGGGAGCAAAUGGGAUUAGAUACCCCUGUAGUCC